UACGGGGGGAGCAAGCGUUGUUCGGAUUUACUGGGCGUAAGGGGCGCGUAGGCGGCCACCGCAAGUCGACUGUGAAAUCUCCGGGCUUAACUCGGAAAGGUCAGCCGAUACUGCGGGGCUAGAGUGCAGAAGGGGCAACUGGAAUUCUCGGUGUAGCGGUGAAAUGCGUAGAUAUCGAGAGGAACACCUGCGGCGAAGGCGGGUUGCUGGGCUGACACUGACGCUGAUUGUGCGAAAGCUAGGGGAGCGAACGGG
rnacentral:rRNA from 1 species